rnacentral:rRNA from 1 species
UGGGGAAUCUUGCGCAAUGGGCGAAAGCCUGACGCAGCAACGCCGCGUGUGGGAUGAAGGCCCUCGGGUUGUAAACCACUUUCAGCAGGAACGAAAAUGACGGUACCUGCAGAAGAAGGUCCGGCCAACUACGUGCCAGCAGCCGCGGUAACACGUAGGGACCAAGCGUUGUCCGGAUUUAUUGGGCGUAAAGAGCUCGUAGGCGGUUUGGUAAGUCGGGUGUGAAAACUCAGGGCUUAACCCUGAGACGCCACCCGAUACUGCCAUGACUUGAGUCCGGUAGGGGAGUGGGGAAUUCCUGGUGUAGCGGUGAAAUGCGCAGAUAUCAGGAGGAACACCGGUGGCGAAGGCGCCACUCUGGGCCGGUACUGACGCUGAGGAGCGAAAGCGUGGGUAGCAAACAGG